rnacentral:rRNA from 1 species
AUUGAACGCUGGCGGAAUGCUUUACACAUGCAAGUCGAACGGCAGAACGGACUUCGGUCUGGUGGAGUGGCGAACGGGUGAGUAAUGUAUCGGAACGUGCCCAGUCGUGGGGGAUAACGUAGUGAAAAUUACGCUAAUACCGCAUACGAUCUAUGGAUGAAAGCGGGGGAUCGCAAGACCUCGCGCGAUUGGAGCGGCCGAUAUCAGAUUAGGUAGUUGGUGGGGUAAAGGCCCACCAAGCCAACGAUCUGUAGCUGGUCUGAGAGGACGACCAGCCACACUGGAACUGAGACACGGUCCAGACUCCUACGGGAGGCAGCAGUGGGGAAUUUUGGACAAUGGGCGAAAGCCUGAUCCAGCCAUUCCGCGUGCAGGAUGAAGGCCCUCGGGUUGUAAACUGCUUUUGUACAGAACGAAAAGGUUUCUACUAAUACUAGGAGCUCAUGACGGUACUGUAAGAAUAAGCACCGGCUAACUACGUGCCAGCCGCCGCGGUAA